rnacentral:rRNA from 1 species
GUGGGGAAUAUUGCACAAUGGGGGAAACCCUGAUGCAGCGACGCCGCGUGGAGGAAGAAGGUCUUCGGAUUGUAAACUCCUGUUGUUGAGGAAGAUAAUGACGGUACUCAACAAGGAAGUGACGGCUAACUACGUGCCAGCAGCCGCGGUAAAACGUAGGUCACAAGCGUUGUCCGGAAUUACUGGGUGUAAAGGGAGCGCAGGCGGGAGAACAAGUUGGAAGUGAAAUCCAUGGGCUCAACCCAUGAACUGCUUUCAAAACUGUUUUUCUUGAGUAGUGCAGAGGUAGGCGGAAUUCCCGGUGUAGCGGUGGAAUGCGUAGAUAUCGGGAGGAACACCAGUGGCGAAGGCGGCCUACUGGGCACCAACUGACGCUGAGGCUCGAAAGUGUGGGUAGCAAACAGGAUUAGAUACCCUAGUAGUCC